AAAAAAUUAAAAUAAAUUACUAAAAAAGUAAAUAAUUAUUUAUUGAAACUUAAAUAAUUUGGCGGUAUUUUAGUUCAUUUAGAGGAAUCUGUCUAGUAAUUGAUAUUCCACGAAUAAUCAUAUUUAAUUUAUAAUUUUAUAUAUCGUUGUUAAAAAAAUAUUUUUUAAUAAAAAUAAUAUUUUAAAAUUUUAAUUAGAAAUUAAUUCAGAUCAAGAUGUAGAUAAUAAUUAAAAUAUAAGAUGGAUUACAAUAUAUUUAUAUAAAUGGAUAAUAAUUUUGAAAAAUUUAUUUGAAGGUGGAUUUAAAUGUCAUUUUAAAUAAUUUUUUAAAAUGAUUAAUAAUUGAAAUAUGUACAUAUUGCCCGUCACUUUCAUUUAAAAAUUGAAAUAAGUCGUAACAAAGUAGGGGUACUGGAAAGUGUUCCUAGAAAGA
rnacentral:rRNA from 1 species